UCCGCCGUAGCUCAGUGGUAGAGCAGUCGGCUGUUAACCGAUUGGUCGUAGGUUCGAAUCCUACCGGCGGAGCAA
rnacentral:tRNA from 1 species